rnacentral:rRNA from 1 species
UACGAAGGGUGCAAGCGUUAAUCGGAAUUACUGGGCGUAAAGCGUGCGCAGGCGGUGAGCUGUGUCCGAUGUGAAAGCCCCGGGCUUAACCUGGGAAUGGCAUUGGAAACUGGCUCGCUGGAGUGUGGCAGAGGGGGGUGGAAUUCCGCGUGUAGCAGUGAAAUGCGUAGAGAUCCGGAGGAACACCGACGGCGCAGGCAGCGUCCUGGCCGCUUGCUGACACUGAGGCACGAAAGCGUGGGGAGCAAACAGG